GACGAACGCUGGCGGCAUGCCUAAUACAUGCAAGUCGAGCGAACAGAUGAAGUGCUUGCACUUCUGACGUUAGCGGCGAACGGAUAAGUAACACGUAAGGAAUCUACCUAUAAGCGGGGGAUAACAUUCGGAAACGGGUGCUAAUACCGCAUAAUAUCUUCUUCCGCAUGGAAGAAGAUUGAAAGUCGGCUCUGCUGUCACUUAUAGAUGACCUUGCGGUGCAUUAGUUAGUUGGUGGGGUAAUGGCCUACCAAGACGAUGAUGCAUAGCCGACCUGAGAGGGUGAUCGGCCACAUUGGGACUGAGACACGGCCCAAACUCCUACGGGAGGCAGCAGUAGGGAAUCUUCCGCAAUGGGCGAAAGCCUGACGGAGCAAUGCCGCGUGAGUGAAGAAGGCCUUCGGGUCGUAAAACUCUGUUAUAAGAGAAGAACAAAUUGUAGAGUAACUGCUACAGUCUUGACGGUAUCUUAUCAGAAAGCCACGGCUAACUACGUGCCAGCCGCCGCCGUAA
rnacentral:rRNA from 1 species